AACGAGACCUUAACCUGCUAAAUAGCCUGGUCGGCUUUUGCUGGCUACUGGCUUCUUAGAGGGACUGUCAGCGUCUAGCUGACAGAAGUUUGAGGCAAUAACAGGUCUGUGAUGCCCUUAGAUGUUCUGGGCCGCACGCGCGCUACACUGACAGAGCCAGCGAGUUUUUCACCUUGGCCGG
rnacentral:rRNA from 1 species